GACGAACGCUGGCGGCGUGCUUAACACAUGCAAGUCGAACGGUGAAGCGCCUUCCUUUUUGGUGGGUGUGGAUGAGUGGCGAACGGGUGAGUAACACGUGAGUAACCUGCCCCCUUCUUCUGGAUAACCGCAUGAAAGUGUGGCUAAUACGGGAUAUUCUGGGUCUGUCGCAUGAUGGGUCUGGGAAAGAUAUUGUUUCGGUGGGGGAUGGGCUCGCGGCCUAUCAGCUUGUUGGUGGGGUGAUGGCCUACCAAGGCGGUGACGGGUAGCCGGCCUGAGAGGGUGGCCGGUCACACUGUGACUGAGACACCGCCCAGACUCCUACGGGAGGCAGCAGUGGGGAAUAUUGCACAAUGGGCGCAAGCCUGAUGCAGCGACGCCGCGUGAGGGAUGGAGGCCUUCGGGUUGUGAACCUCUUUCGCCAGUGAAGCAGGCCUGCCUCGUUUGUGGGUGGGUUGACGGUAGCCGGAUAAGAAGCGCCGGCUAACUACGUG
rnacentral:rRNA from 1 species